ensembl:lncRNA
GGCCACACCCACGGCAUAUGGCGGUCCCCAGGCUAGGGUUCCAAUCAGAGCUGUUGCUGCCAGCCUAUGCCAGAGCCACAGCAACGCCAGAUCCAAGCCACGUCUGCGACCUACACCACAGCUCAUGGCAAUGCCAGAUCCUUAACCCACUGAGCAAGGGCAGGGAUCGAACCUGAAACCUCAUGGUUCCUAGUCGGAUUUCUUUCCGAUGCGCCAUGACCGGAACUCCUUUUUCCUCUUUUUAAUUAGCUUCUUUAGGUUUUUUUUAUGGGGGGGGUGGGUAUUGGUCAAAGAAAGACAUGUUUAACAAGUAAUGUUUAGGGGAUGCAUUAGUUCUUCUGAAAAAGCACACUAUCACUUUUCAUAGUAAAUUGACGCCUUUUUAACAGCAUUUUAAUAAACAAAGUCUCCAAGGACACAUUUUCUUUAUUAUUUAUAUUUACUGGAUUCCUCGUAUUGAAGAAAGGAGAAUGAAAACAACCCUAUUUAAGUUACAAUCUGGCUGAUGGAAAGAUAAGACAAAUCACAAGAAUUACUGGGCAGGCAGAACCUAAGGACCACAGAACUGCAGGUGAACUUUGGAGACCGAGUCAAGGCUUUCAGUUGAGGGAAACUAAGGUAAGUUCCAGGAGAGCAGUAACAAAUCUGGAUGUGAUAAGGCAUUGGCCACAGGAAAGCAGGAAGGAGCAGGUAUCCUUCCGAACCCCACUGGAAGACGCCCACACCCCCCUGUCUCAGGGGACAUGGGGGCUACAUUCUGAGGCCCUCGACAUCAACCCUAGGGCUGCCUGUGGGCUGUGUGAGGAGCAGGGGACCGGCCUGGCUCAGGGGGAAGAGAGGGCCGAGGCUUGCGGCCAGGUGUCGGGGGAAGAACACCGGUGCCUGCCUUUGCCGUCUCUGCUCUGGAAAGAGGUCAUGGCAAAGCAGAGGUUCUCAGUAAUCCUCUAGAAAAUCUGAGAAGGAUUUUAAAAAUUAUCAGAACUCCAAACUCACACCUAGGGAGCACUUCUCUUGGGAGAAAUUAAGUGAAUUCUUAAAUGCUGGUGAGCUUUCCAAUGGGUAAUUUCCUAGGAAAAUAAAACAAAAUGUAGAAAAAUCCUAAGAUCCACCAUAGGAAAAAAGUACAGAAAUUCGGUGGUGGUUCAGUGGGUUAAGGAUCCAGCAAUGUCACUGCUAUGGCUCAGGCCAAAUUUCUACAUGUAAAUUUCUAAUUUUUAUAUUUCAGUCCUCGGCAAAAUUAAGACAGAGAAUGUAUAACAUCAUUUAUUCACACUUUAUUAUUAAAAUUUUUAGCCAUAUCUACAGGCAAGCAAACGGAAAUUAUAUUGUACUUAAUGAGCCAAACCCUUCUAAGACCAAGACUGUCCCCUUGCUUUGAAAAGUUCACUCUUCGGCCUACACUCUGACAACAGCUUCUAUCAGACAGGAGUGUGUUUGAGGUUGAAACAUCUCCAUCAGAUAAUCCAGGGACUGCUGUUAAGACCAAGGGCCAAAGUGCUGUUUCAGUUAAAGAGGAUACCAGCAGAAGUUAAAGAGGAUCAUGAACUUGUCUCAACUUCUCACUCAGCCUGAUGAGGGAAAAGGAGACAGCAAACCAGGUGCC